CUGGGCCGCUGGGGCCCUGGCUCAGGCCCCAGGCCGUCUGGCAGGAGCCAGUCCCAGAACCCCUCUUCCCCUGGGGGGCAGCAGCUGCUAGGUCCUCAGAGGCGCUGGGAUCCGACAGCCCAGUACCUGGGAGCCAGGGCCUGCCCAGCGGCCUUCCUUCCUGGCCAACAGCUGCCUGCGUGCAGCCCCUCUCCCGAGGAUCUGUGUGGCCAUUCAUCACAGGCCUCCUCUUGGAAAGGCAAAGAAGGUUGCAUUAUACUAGACAGGGUUGUCUCUCUGGGUGGAAAAAGGCAGUGUGUUCGUGGAGUGCAGCUGCAUUUCAAAGGUACUUUGUUGGCGAGUUAUGAAUUUGCCUUUGCUAAUGUGGG
rnacentral:lncRNA from 12 species